rnacentral:antisense_RNA from 1 species
ACACUACCCAUCUCUGGAAAUAACUGCAAAAUAUUUAUUCUAUCACUGAAAUGACAACAGCCUGCUAGAUACCUUUCUCUCUAUAAGGACUGUUCAUUAAAACGCUAAAGCCAGUGAGAUAAAAGAAGUCAAAGAACAGUUGCCCAUUUCUACAAUCACUAUUAAUUAACUAACUACUUACAUCAGAACACAGGCAGAGUCAUUUCGCCUAACCUAAGUUCCUAUCCUCCAGUACAAAUUUCUUCCCUUUCACUAGAAUGUACCUUUAGUUUCUUACAAACUUUCCUUUAUUUCCUCAAAUUACUCCUUCUUCCUUUUAGUCCUUUAUUCCCAAAUAAAUUUACCAAGUUCUUACAGAUUCUUUUCCUUAUAAGGUAUACAUCCCUAUGGCUGAAUUUGAAUGACAGCCUCUCUCAGGCCAGGACAGGAUGACAAGGUGAGCUACAGGGAAACUGCAGUGAAGUUUGGCUCCAAGCAUGACACAGACAUGGGCUGACCUUGAAGAAAAAAAAGACUAAACACUACCUACGCUCAAUGUUCCACACCUCUUAAGCCAGUAAUCCUGUAUCUGGUGUCUGGCAGCAAAGAAAAUAAAAUAUACCUCAUCUGUGCUCCAUUUGGAGACUUUACUGGCAGGGAUUCCAGCGACAGUUGGAAGAAGUUUGCUUUGCUGCUCCCAGCGCAAGGGCAGACAUGGAAUUGGGGACUUAAAGGACAGAAAGACAGCUGACCGACGCUGUGCCUGCUGGACGGUGGGUUCUUCCCGGGCACCUGGUCAAUGAAAACAAAUGGGAAAUCACUCUCUGAAAGCAG